ACCGGUGCCAGCCGCCGCGGUAAUACCGGCGGCUCGAGUGGUGGCCACUAUUACUGGGCUUAAAGCGUUCGUAGCUGGUCUGUUAAGUCUCUGGGGAAAUCUACUGGCUUAACCAAUAGGCGUCUCAGGGAUACUGGCAGACUAGGGACCGGGAGAGGUGAGAGGUACUCCAGGGGUAGGAGUGAAAUCCUGUAAUCCUUGGGGGACCACCUGUGGCGAAGGCGUCUCACCAGAACGGCUCCGACAGUGAGGGACGAAAGCUGGGGGAGCAAACCGGAUUAGAUACCCGGGUAGUCCCAGCUGUAAACGAUGCGCGUUAGGUGUAUCGAUGACCACGAGUCAUCGAGGUGCCGAAGAGAAAUCGUGAAACGUGCCGCCUGGGAAGUACGGUCGCAAGGCUGAAACUUAAAGGAAUUGGCGGGGGAGCACCACAACAGGUGGAGCCUGCGGUUUAAUCGGACUCAACGCCGGAAAUCUCACCGGAUAAGACAGCUGUAUGAUAGUCGGGCUGAAGACUCUACUUGACUAGCUGAGAGGAGGUGCAUGGCCGUCGUCAGUUCG
rnacentral:rRNA from 1 species